AUGGCAUAGAGUACCACAGUAGGUGUCAUAAUACCCAUAAAACCUAGCGGUCAAACAGGGAAAUGGUUCCAAUCGUUUUUCCCAUAGGGGGUUUUAGAAACACUUAAGGGCCGUGUAGACUUAUCCUGGCAUGACGUUUUGAUAGGUGUAAAUCUGUCUAGGACAAUGUGACUUAAUAUAUUCACCCCCAAAAUGAAACGCUAGUUAGCUGCUAAUGUGGCUAACAAAGAAUGACAAAUGCCAUGAUCUGGACAAGACCGCUGAAUUGAAAGGCCAGGAUGAAGAUGCCAGCCUCGGCUGCCUGGAAGAGGGCGUAGAGCAGAGGGAACAUAUACAUGCCCCCCAUCAGCUGUGGUGGGAAGGCCAUCUUCAGGAUGGCUGUACAGAGCUGCACGUUCUGGCACCCGGUCUCUAGUGACACGGUUCUGCGGAUGUUGGGCGGGAGAUCGAAGAGGGUGGCCAGGCCGUAGCCUGCAGCGUAGCCACAGGCAGGCAUCAGGACAGCUACCACGUAGACAGAUGGAGGGAUGGUAGCCAGCAGCUCUUGCCCCAACAUGACCCCCGUCAUGAUGAACAGCAUCACCAGGGUCACCAGCAGAGACCACAGGGACACCUGGGGAAACAUACCCCACGGGGUCAACACAAGUUUUAUGACAGGCCUUCUCUAUAUCCAGAUUGUUUUAGGAAGGUGGAAAGGGAAAGAACAAUGGACUAAUUUUCAGGAUAUUCAAACAGAACCAAUAUUAUAAAGGACCAAGGGAAUGCCACAAGUAAGCAUGGUCCACUUAAAUCUAUCUGAUUUCAUGUAUCCCUUCCCCUCUGUGGAUUUCUCAUCCAGUUCUAUGAUUCUGUCACACAUCUCAUGCCUCUCCCUCUCCUGGUUGAGCUGUCUUUAGAUGAGUUCAUCUGAAGUGGAAGGGCUCUCCCUGACCGUACAGUGCAUCUCUGCAUCUGAUGUUACCUUUGUCUCAACAGAAAGCUAGACAUAAAAAAAUACACAAUAUGCACAAUGUCACACUCGGUGAUGACACACAGUCAAAAGGUACACAACUGACUAUUAGAAAAAAUGUAAUUUAUUUUACUAGCCAAACUACCCCGUUUUAAUAAAUACAAAUAUAUCCUA